rnacentral:rRNA from 1 species
UACAGAGGGGGCAAGCGUUGUUCGGAAUUACUGGGCGUAAAGGGCGCGUAGGCGGCCUGUUAAGUCGAACGUGAAAUCCCUGGGCUCAACCCAGGAACUGCGUCCGAUACUGGCAGGCUUGAAUCCGGGAGAGGGAUGUGGAAUUCCAGGUGUAGCGGUGGAAUGCGUAGAUAUCUGGAGGAACACCGGUGGCGAAGGCGGCAUCCUGGACCGGUAUUGACGCUGAGGCGCGAAAGCCAGGGGAGCAAACGGG